UUGGAUCCAGACUUUGAUUCUGGCUCAGGAUGAACGCUAGCUACAGGCUUAACACAUGCAAGUCGAGGGGCAGCGGGAUUGAAGCUUGCUUCAAUUGCCGGCGACCGGCGCACGGGUGAGUAACGCGUAUCCAACCUUCCGUACACUCAGGGAUAGCCUUUCGAAAGAAAGAUUAAUACCUGAUGGUAUCUUAAGCACACAUGUAAUUAAGAUUAAAGAUUUAUCGGUGUACGAUGGGGAUGCGUUCCAUUAGGUAGUAGGCGGGGUAACGGCCCACCUAGCCAACGAUGGAUAGGGGUUCUGAGAGGAAGGUCCCCCACAUUGGAACUGAGACACGGUCCAAACUCCUACGGGAGGCAGCAGUGAGGAAUAUUGGUCAAUGGACGAGAGUCUGAACCAGCCAAGUAGCGUGAAGGAUGAAGGUUCUACGGAUUGUAAACUUCUUUUAUAAGGGAAUAAACCCUCCCACGUGUGGGAGCUUGUAUGUACCUUAUGAAUAAGCAUCGGCUAACUCCGUGCCAGCAGCCGCGGUAAUACGGAGGAUGCGAGCGUUAUCCGGAUUUAUUGGGUUUAAAGGGAGCGCAGACGGGUCGUUAAGUCAGCUGUGAAAGUUUGGGGCUCAACCUCAAAAUUGCAGUUGAUACUGGCGUCCUUGAGUGCGGUUGAGGUGUGCGGAAUUCGUGGUGUAGCGGUGAAAUGCUUAGAUAUCACGAAGAACUCCGAUUGCGAAGGCAGCACACUGAUCCGUAACUGACGUUCAUGCUCGAAAGUGUGGGUAUCAAACAGGAUUAGAUACCCUGGUAGUCCACACGGUAAACGAUGGAUACUCGCUGUUGGCGAUAUACUGUCAGCGGCUUAGCGAAAGCGUUAAG
rnacentral:rRNA from 1 species